rnacentral:lncRNA from 1 species
CUCUUAUCCACACCUAUGUCCCAAAAUGUACUUUCAACCCUCAGGCCAGAGAAAGGAGGCCUUCCUAGGAAGAGCCUGACUCAGUUUACCAAGAGUUCAGCUGUUAUUUGGGGGGCUUGAUUCCCCACUUCAAAACCAUAUCUUCCAGGAAAGUUCUGAACAGGCCACUGUUAACUGGGGUCCCUUCUCCAACGGUGUAAGUAUCUUUAUUUUCUCCUUAGCAAAUAUGAUAAAUAGAUUAGACCCUUUGGAGAGACCAAAGGGUAGCAAAAGACAGUAAGUUCGUGUCAGGAGCACACUCUCAGCUGCUUUGUCCUUGUGUUAACUUAUUGCUGGGACUCCCUGUGGGUGUGUGUGUGUUAUUGUGAGUGUGCCCUCACGGGUAAGUACAUGUGUGCCUGUUCAUCCCAUUAGACAGCAAGGCAGUAGCCAGGACCUCCAUCCAUGAAGCUCUCUUACCUCUGCCUUUUAUCCAAUGCAAGUUUACCCCAUAUCCUCUCACACAUCAGAGACCCAACCUGAGGUAGUGAUAGUUCACAUAUGUCCAUAAUAGGGUUUUGAUAGAGCAGAGGUAACAUGUCUGACUGAAUUGUGGUGGUUAUAACCCAUUGGGGGUUUGGCAUGGGGACGAGAAUGGUACUACAUCCCUCCACCAUGACCUCUCCCCAAAACCAGACUCCAGUGAUCCUUCUGUGUUUCUGUGUGCACCACAGUCAUGUCUCAUGUGCUAAGGCUUUAGUGUAGUUAGAAUAGAGUUCCCUCACAGGAUGCUUCUGUAUCUUUCUCCACAGCGUAUUGUCCUCUGUGAUGGGGAGUUAUCUGUUGUUGAAAUAAAAGAUUAUUUAUUUGUGACUUGCA